UAAACAGAUGUCUCCGAAGAAGAAAUGCAAAAUUGUCAAUCCAAAUGCAUAGCUAGAGUUCAACUUGAAGUGAAUUUCUCUGUCAUGCCCGAGUCUAAGAGGGAUCUUAAAAAUGGACACAUCUUGUACUUGUACACCUCAUUUGGAAAAAGUCUGUCUGAAACAGAGAAAUCGCUGAGUUCACAUUUCUC